rnacentral:rRNA from 1 species
CUUUAUUGGAGAGUUUGAUCCUGGCUCAGGAUGAACGCUGGCGGCGUGCCUAAUACAUGCAAGUCGAGCGAAUGGAUUGAGAGCUUGCUCUCAAGAAGUUAGCGGCGGACGGGUGAGUAACACGUGGGUAACCUGCCCAUAAGACUGGGAUAACUCCGGGAAACCGGGGCUAAUACCGGAUAACAUUUUGAACCGCAUGGUUCGAAAUUGAAAGGCGGCUUC